GACGAACGCUGGCGGCGUGCCUAAUACAUGCAAGUAGAACGCUGAAGAGAGGAGCUUGCUCUUCUUGGACGAGUUGCGAACGGGUGAGUAACGCGUAGGUAACCUGCCUUGUAGCGGGGGAUAACUAUUGGAAACGAUAGCUAAUACCGCAUAACAAUAGGUGACACAUGUCAUUUAUUUGAAAGGGGCAAUUGCUCCACUACAAGAUGGACCUGCGUUGUAUUGGCUAGUAGGUGAGGUAACGGCUCACCUAGGCGACGAUACAUAGCCGACCUGAGAGGGUGAUCGGCCACACUGGGACUGAGACACGGCCCAGACUCCUACGGGAGGCAGCAGUAGGGAAUCUUCGGCAAUGGGGGCAACCCUGACCGAGCAACGCCGCGUGAGUGAAGAAGGUUUUCGGAUCGUAAAGCUCUGUUGUAAGUCAAGAACGAGUGUGAGAGUGGAAAGUUCACACUGUGACGGUAGCUUACCAGAAAGGGACGGCUAACUACGUGCCAGCAGCCGCGGUAAUACGUAGGUCCCGAGCGUUGUCCGGAUUUAUUGGGCGUAAAGCGAGCGCAGGCGGUUUGAUAAGUCUGAAGUUAAAGGCUGUGGCUCAACCAUAGUUCGCUUUGGAAACUGUCAAACUUGAGUGCAGAAGGGGAGAGUGGAAUUCCAUGUGUAGCGGUGAAAUGCGUAGAUAUAUGGAGGAACACCGGUGGCGAAAGCGGCUCUCUGGUCUGUAACUGACGCUGAGGCUCGAAAGCGUGGGGAGCGAACAGG
rnacentral:rRNA from 1 species